CCUACGGGAGGCUGCAGUGGGGGAUAUUGCACAAUGGGGGGAACCCUGAUGCAGCGACGCCGCGUGAGCGAAGAAGUACCUCGGUAUGUAAAGCUCUAUCAGCAGGGAAGACAAUGACGGUACCUGACUAAGAAGCCCCGGCUAAAUCCGGGCCAGCAGCCGCGGUAAUACGUAUGGGGCAAGCGUUAUCCGGAUUUACUGGGUGUAAAGGGUUCGCAGGCGGCGUGCCAAGUCUGGUGUGAAAACCCGGGGCGCAACCCCGGGCCUGCAUUGGACACUGGCGGGCGGGAGGGUCGGAGGGGCAGGCGGAAUUCCUAGUGUAGCGGUGCAAUGCGUAGAUAUUAGGAGGAACACCAGUGGCGAAGGCGGCCUGCUGGACGAUGACUGACGCUGAGGCUCGAAAGCGUGGGGAGCAAACAGGAUUAGAUACCCGGGUAGUC
rnacentral:rRNA from 1 species